GAUGAACGCUGGCGGCGUGCCUAAUACAUGCAAGUCGAGCGGUAAGGCCCCUUCGGGGGUACACGAGCGGCGGACGGCUGAGUAACACGUAGGAACGUACCCCAAAGUGAGGGAUAAGCACCAGAAACGGUGUCUAAUACCGCAUGUGAUCUUCGGAUUAAAGCUUCGGCGCUUUGGGAACGGCCUGCGUCCGAUUAGCUAGUUGGUAGUGUAAAAGACUACCAAGGCGACGAUCGGUAGCUGGUCUGAGAGGAUGAUCAGCCAGACUGGGACUGAGACACGGCCCAGACUCCUACGGGAGGCAGCAGUAGGGAAUUUUCCACAAUGGGCGAAAGCCUGAUGGAGCAACGCCGCGUGCAGGAUGAAUGCCUUCGGGUUGUAAACUGCUUUUGUACGGAACGAAAAGGUUUGGGCUAAUAAGCUGAGCUCAUGACGGUACCGUAAGAAUAAGCACCGGC
rnacentral:rRNA from 1 species